GCGUAACAAGGUUUCCGUAGGUGAACCUGCGGAAGGAUCAUUACCGAGUGAGGGCCCUUUGGGUCCAACCUCCCACCCGUGUUUAUUUUACCUUGUUGCUUCGGCGGGCCCGCCUUUACUGGCCGCCGGGGGGCUUCACGCCCCCGGGCCCGCGCCCGCCGAAGACACCCUCGAACUCUGUCUGAAGAUUGAAGUCUGAGUGAAAAUAUAAAUUAUUUAAAACUUUCAACAACGGAUCUCUUGGUUCCGGCAUCGAUGAAGAACGCAGCGAAAUGCGAUACGUAAUGUGAAUUGCAAAUUCAGUGAAUCAUCGAGUCUUUGAACGCACAUUGCGCCCCCUGGUAUUCCGGGGGGCAUGCCUGUCCGAGCGUCAUUGCUGCCCUCAAGCCCGGCUUGUGUGUUGGGCCCCGUCCUCCGAUUCCGGGGGACGGGCCCGAAAGGCAGCGGCGGCACCGCGUCCGGUCCUCGAGCGUAUGGGGCUUUGUCACCCGCUCCGUAGGCCCGGCCGGCGCUUGCCGAUCAACCCAAAUUUU
rnacentral:rRNA from 2 species